GACAAUCUACCCUAUGGAAGGGGAUAACCCCGGGAAACUGGGGAUAAUACCCUAUAGGCUAUAGAUGCUGGAAUGCACUGUAGUUGAAAGGUCCGCCGCCAUAGGAUGGGUCUGCGGCCGAUUAGGUUGUUGUUGGGGUAACGGCCCAACAAGCCUGUAAUCGGUACGGGUUGUGGGAGCAAGAGCCCGGAGAUGGAUUCCGAGACACGAAUCCAGGCCCUACGGGGCGCAGCAGGCGCGAAAACUUUGCAAUGCGGGAAACCGUGACAGGGGAACUCCGAGUGCCCGUUAAAUCGGGCUGUCCAUCAGUUUAAAUAACUGGUGAAGAAAGGGCCGGGCAAGACCGGUGCCAGCCGCCGCGGUAAUACCGGCGGCUCGAGUGGUGGCCACUAUUACUGGGCUUAAAGCGUUCGUAGCUGGUUUGUUAAGUCUCUGGGGAAAUCUUCCGGCUUAACCGGAAGGCGUCUCAGGGAUACUGGCAGACUAGGGACCGGGAGAGGUGAGGGGUACUCCAGGGGUAGGAGUGAAAUCCUGUAAUCCUUGGG
rnacentral:rRNA from 1 species